GUUGACCUCGGAUCGGGUAGGGAUACCCGCUGAACUUAAGCAUAUCAAUAAGCGGAGGAAAAGAAACCAACAGGGAUUGCCCUAGUAACGGCGAGUGAAGCGGCAACAGCUCAAAUUUGAAAUCUGGCGCAAGCCCGAGU
rnacentral:rRNA from 1 species